rnacentral:lncRNA from 1 species
GGGAAUAUAUAAGUAAACAAAGUGAUUGAGCCAAUGACGGUUAAUUGGCAUUCAGCGUAGAGUAUACUAUACUUAAUGGAAUACACAAUAAUACUAUGUUACUGACAUGUGGAUCCAAGAUACGGCUUGUUGUUGGCUUAUUGCAACUGUACCAUAGGUUAUGCAAGGGACUAAGAUACAACUAUACAAGGAGCAUGAGAAAGGCAGUAUAUAAUAAGCGGGGCAGGAGUGCAAACCGGAAUGCUUUGCGGUGAGGGGAGAAUCAUGCAGGCUUGCUGAUGGUGUCCCCCACAGGCUGCCUGUGUCACUGAUGUCUCUCAUAAUGCAGUCUCAAUUAGUCUUUGUGCACAAGUUACCUUCUGAGAUCCACACCCACAUGCAGAUGCCUGUAGCUUUAUGCAAAGAAUGAUUCAAUAGCAGGCUCUGUCACCUUGCUUUAAACUAUGCUACUGUAAACAGCAGAUUUUCUACUAAUUGGCUUUACAGAACACUAACUGUGCCCUGUAGCUACUUUGCGCGGAGAGGUGGCAAGUGCAGAACUGCAGAUUUGUUUGGGCACUUUGUUAGGUGACUGAUAGUGUUUGCCCAAAUUUGGAAGACCCAGUCAAUUCUUUCAGAAAAUGUGAGUCAUUGAGGAAAUUGGUAGCACCCACAUUCUUUUUCACAGGGAAUUCGAAUCAAAGGUAUGGAGCAAGAUCUGAAAAGUUUGCACUUUAAUUUAAGAUGUGCUACUAUGUUUGCGCACAAAUGAACUUGCAUUUGUUUUCUUUUCCCUAUAAGACAGCAAGUAAAAUUAACAAAUAGAAAAGGAUAUAUAUGGUCCUCUUCUUGUAAAUAAAAAAGGUUUGAUUUGCUUUCUGAGCACAGCACGGCAUUCUUACCACUUGGAAUAUCAAGUGUCUGGAUGGCCAAAAAGACAGUUAUCCUCGAACGUCAGUCGUAGUCGUGAGAAAUUUUUAACCGAGUUGUACGCCAUACGGGGUUCCAAGUUUAACCUCGCAAGUUGCACGUCGGUAGCAAGGAAAGCAGAACCCCUUUUUUAACUUCGCACGCUCUGAGAAGGCAUCUCGAAUGUUA